rnacentral:rRNA from 1 species
UACGUAGGGGCUAGCGUUAUCCGGAAUUACUGGGCGUAAAGGGUGCGUAGGUGGUUUCUUAAGUCUGAUGUGAAAGCCCUCGGCUUAACCGUGGAGGGUCAUUGGAAACUGAGGGACUUGAGUACAGAAGAGGAGAGUGGAAUUCCACGUGUAGCGGUGAAAUGCGUAGAGAUGUGGAGGAACACCAGUGGCGAAGGCGACUCUCUGGUCUGUAACUGACGCUGAGGUGCGAAAGCGUGGGUAGCAAACAGGAUUAGAUACCCCGGUAGUCCCUGAG